ACUCCUACGGGAGGCAGCAGUGGGGAAUUUUGCACAAUGGGGGAAACCCUGAUGCAGCGACGCCGCGUGAUUUAGAAGGCCUUCGGGUUGUAAAAAUCUUUUGUACAGGAAGAAAAUGACGGUACUGUCCGAAUAAGGUCCGGCUAAUUACUUGCCAGCAGCCGCGGUAAU
rnacentral:rRNA from 1 species